AAGGAAUAUUGGUCAAUGGACGCAAGUCUGAACCAGCCAUGCCGCGUGGAGGAUUAAGGCCCUCUGGGUUGUAAACUCCUUUUAUCUGGGAAGAAAUGUACUUUUUCUUGAGUACUUGACGGUACCAGAGGAAUAAGCACCGGCUAACUCCGUGCCAGCAGCCGCGGUAAUACGGAGGGUGCAAGCGUUAUCCGGAUUCACUGGGUUUAAAGGGUGCGUAGGUGGGCAGGUAAGUCAGUGGUGAAAUCUCCGGGCUUAACCCGGAAACUGCCGUUGAUACUAUUGGUCUUGAAUAUUGUGGAGGUAAGCGGAAUAUGUCAUGUAGCGGUGAAAUGCUUAGAUAUGACAUAGAACACCAAUUGCGAAGGCAGCUUACUACACAAUCAUUGACGCUGAGGCACGAAAGCGUGGGGAUCAAACA
rnacentral:rRNA from 1 species